rnacentral:rRNA from 1 species
GGCUCAGGAUGAACGCUAGCUACAGGCUUAACACAUGCAAGUCGCGGGGCAGCAUUUCCUUAGCUUGCUAAGGAAGAUGGCGACCGGCGCACGGGUGAGUAACGCGUAUCCAACCUUCCCAUGUCCACGGGAUAGCCCGUCGAAAGGCGGAUUAAUACCGUAUGAGGUCACAUGCGGGCAUCUAAGUGUGACGAAAGGUUUUUGCGGACAUGGAUGGGGAUGCGUCCGAUUAGUUAGUUGGUGGGGUAAUGGCCUACCAAGACGAUGAUACGUAGCCGACCUGAGAGGGUGAUCGGCCACAUUGGGACUGAGACACGGUCCAAACUCCUACGGGAGGCAGCAGUGAGGAAUAUUGGUCAAUGGGCGAGAGCCUGAACCAGCCAAGUAGCGUGCAGGAAGACGGCCCUAUGGGUUGUAAACUGCUUUUAUAAGGGAAUAAAGUGGGUCUCGUGAGACUUUUUGCAUGUACCUUAUGAAUAAGGACCGGCUAAUUCCGUG